GACAAAAGGAAAACAAAAAUGGCAGCCCUGUCUUAUUUUUAUAAGCACUGGACGCCAUAUUCUGCAGAUCCGAAUAUUAUAAGCAGAUAAACCCGCGGGUUUGAAUAGCCCGGCUCGAGGAGAGGAGAGAAAAAAAAGCCCUGACACUUCCUACAACAAUCAUCAUGCCUUCGCUUGAACGCUCUGCAGCUGUUGAGCCAUAAAUCCAGACGUCGAUCGGCCACACUGACGCGUUAUGGAAGCUUUUAGCUUCCACGGUUCCCGAAAAAAACAAGAAGCGAUUCUGUUUUUUUAAAAAUAUAAUUUACGCGCCGCAAACGCUGUUGUUUUUAAUUGCAACUUUUGGAAACGGAGCGACGCGGAGCAGCAGCGAGAGAGAGGAAAGAGAAAAGAGAAUAAGCAUCGAGAGGAGAACAUACCUGAGCCAGCGGCAGCAGAGAUGGUUUUUAAUUUAUUGUUAUUAUGUUAUAUAUAUAAAGGAUUAGACUCUUCUUUCUGCUCGCUCUCAGUCGGACUUCAAACCUUCCGGGUCGCCUGCUGUUCACUUCUGGGUGCUGCAGGCGAAGCGAUUGUUCGGUGUGAAAACGCAGCGCUGGAACCGGUUUUUUUAACCCAUUUUCUGUCCCUGUAAUUUGGCGAUUUUUUUUUCUUUUUUCGUGCAGAUGUUUUUUUCUCUCUCGCAAAUUCCGUGUGCAUGUGUAGCUGGUGUUUAACAAGGCAUUCCUGGUGUGGUAGUGAUAUAUUAUUGCAUGCGUAAACCUCACUUUCUCUUAAAAAACAACAAACAAAACACUGAUGAUAUUCUGAAAUAAGCAUUUAAAAAUAGAAAACAUGCAUUUUUUUAGCCACCACAGAGGCAGAGGUGCGUAAUUGUGAUGGUGGGGAUUUGUUGCAUGCAGCUGUCUUCUUUUUUUUCUCUCUUUUUUUUCCAGUAUGGUGUGUGUACAUCCCAGACCUCUGGCAUGUACAGUAAAUAUGAAGUGUAAUCCUCUCAGCAGCAGCACGACAGGCUGCUAAUAUGCAGAGUGCUGAGCUCAGCAGGCAGCAGGAGGUGGCACUGCUGCCACAGCUGAGAGUCUGCUGGAUUUAACUCACAUGGAAACCUAUGGGAGGCUGAAUGAAGCUUUUCGUGCAUUCAUUUUAAUUACUAGCAGUAUUUCCUGAAAUAUAUUCUCUCAACUGGCCCUGCUUUGUUGUAAUAAUUGCUACUUAUGUUGGUUUAUUGUCCAACUCAAUCCUCUGUGAUGUUUUUACAAAUAAAAUGUUUCAGCUUCAACAUUUUA